rnacentral:rRNA from 1 species
UACGUAGGUGUCGAGCGUUGUCCGGAUUUAUUGGGCGUAAAGAGCCCGCAGGCGGCUUGCCAAGUUCGAGGUGAAAUCUCCCGGCUCAACUGGGAGGGUGCCCCGAAAACUGGCAGGCUUGAGGCAGGGAGAGGGAUGUGGAAUUCCCGGUGUAGUGGUGAAAUGCGUAGAUAUCGGGAGGAACACCAGUGGCGAAGGCGGCAUCCUGGCCCUGUCCUGACGCUCAGGGGCGAAAGCAUGGGUAGCAAAC